AAGCCGGCUAGUACGGUGAAACCGCGAAAGGCUCAUUAAAUCAGUUAUGGUUCCUUAGAUCCUACCCACGAUACUUGGAUAUCUGUGGUAAUUCUAGAGCUAAUACAUGCCGACGGAGCUCCGAACGGUCGCGCGAGUUCGCUCGUUGCGAUACGGGAGGGGCGCUUUUAUUAGAUCAAAACUGGCCAGGCGACGUUUACGCGUCGUCAGUGGCCCGCGCAUAGAUUUGGCGAUUCUGAAUAACUUUGAGCUGAUCGCACGGUCCUCGUACCGGCGACGUAUCUUUCAAAUGUCUGCCUUAUCAACUGUCGACGGUAGGUUCGACGCCUACCGUGGUGGUAACGGGUAACGGGGAAUCAGGGUUCGAUUCCGGAGAGGGAGCCUGAGAAACGGCUACCACAUCCAAGGAAGGCAGCAGGCGCGCAAAUUACCCACUCCCGGCACGGGGAGGUAGUGACGAAAAAUAACGAUACGGGACUCUUAUGAGGCCCCGUAAUCGGAAUGAGUACACUUUAAAACCUUGGUCACACGAGGAUCAAUUGGAGGGCAAG
rnacentral:rRNA from 1 species